rnacentral:rRNA from 1 species
UACGGGGGGGGCAAGCGUUGUUCGGAAUUACUGGGCGUAAAGGGCUCGUAGGCGGCCAACUAAGUCGGAUGUGAAAUCCCCAGGCUCAACCUGGGAACUGCAUCCGAUACUGGAUGGCUUGAAUUCGGGAGAGGGAUGCAGAAUUCCAGGUGGAGCGGUGAAAUGCGUUGAUAUCGAUAGGAACUCCGGUGGCGAAGGCGGCAUACUGGACCACUUCUGACGCUGAGGCGCGAAAGCCAGGGGAGCAAACGGG